AGCAUCUGGCAAUGAUCGGGGGAAUGGCGAUGGUAAGCGAAUGAAGAAUGAUGUGUCGGCAAAAGCAUCUGGCAAUGAUCGGGGGAAUGGCGAUGGUAAGCGAAUGAAGAAUGAUGUGUCGGCAAAAGCAUCUGGCAAUGAUCGGGG